GAGGGUAUAGCUCAGUGGUAGACUGCUUACCUAGCAUGCAUGAGGUCCUGGGUUCAAUCCCUAGUAUCACCA
rnacentral:tRNA from 1 species